AGCGAACGCUGGCGGCAGGCUUAACACAUGCAAGUCGAGCGGGCCUUUCGGGGUCAGUGGCGCACGGGUGAGUAACGCGUGGGAACGUGCCCUCUGAUUCGGAAUAACUCAUUUAAACUUGAGCUAAUGCCGGAUAACCUCUUUUGGUGAAAGGUUCGCUGCCGGAGUAUCGGCCCGCGUUGGAUUAGCUAGUUGGUAUGGUAAGGGCCCACCAAGGCGACGAUCGGUAGCUGGUAUGAGAGGAUGAUCAGCCACACUCAGACUGGGACACGGUCCAGACUACUACGGGAGGGAGCAGUGGGGAAUAUUGGACAAUGGGCGCAAGCCUGAUCCAGCUAUGCCGCGUGAGUGAUGAAGUCCUUAGAGUUGUAAAGCUCUUUUAUCCGGGACGAUAAUGACGGUACCGGAAGAAUAAGCACCGGCUAACUUCGUG
rnacentral:rRNA from 1 species